rnacentral:rRNA from 1 species
UCGGGAAUUUUGGGCAAUGGGCGAAAGCCUGAUCCAGCCAUGCCGCGUGAGUGACGAAGGCCUUAGGGUUGUAAAACUCUUUCGUCGGGGACGAUAAUGACGGUACCCGAAGAAGAAGCUCCGGCUAACUUCGUGCCAGCAGCCGCGGUAAUACGAAGGGAGCUAGCGUUGUUCGGAAUCACUGGGCGUAAAGCGCACGUAGGCGGAUAGUUAAGUCAGGGGUGAAAUCCUGGGGCUCAACCCCAGAACUGCCUUUGAUACUGGCUGUCUCGAGGUCGAGAGAGGUUGGUGGAAUUCCUAGUGUAGAGGUGAAAUUCGUAGAUAUUAGGAAGAACACCAGUGGCGAAGGCGGCCAACUGGCUCGAUACUGACGCUGAGGUGCGAAAGCGUGGGGAGCAAACAGGAUUAGAUACCCGAGUAGUCCCUGAGCGGGCUGGCAAGGCGCAU